rnacentral:rRNA from 1 species
CGAAAGCGUGGGUAGCAAACAGGAUUAGAUACCCUGGUAGUCCACGCCGUAAACGAUGUCUACUAGUCGUUGGGUCCCUUGAGGACUUAGUGACGCAGCUAACGCAAUAAGUAGACCGCCUGGGGAGUACGGCCGCAAGGUUAAAACUCAAAUGAAUUGACGGGGGCCCGCACAAGCGGUGGAGCAUGUGGUUUAAUUCGAUGCAACGCGAAGAACCUUACCUGGUCUUGACAUAUCUAGAAUCUUGUAGAGAUACGAGAGUGCCUUCGGGAAUUAGAAUACAGGUGCUGCAUGGCUGUCGUCAGCUCGUGUCGUGAGAUGUUGGGUUAAGUCCCGCAACGAGCGCAACCCUUGUCCUUAGUUACCAGCGGGUUAAGCCGGGAACUCUAAGGAUACUGCCAGUGACAAACUGGAGGAAGGCGGGGACGACGUCAAGUCAUCAUGGCCCUUACGACCAGGGCUACACACGUGCUACAAUGGUAGGUACAGAGGGCAGCUACACAGCGAUGUGAUGCGAAUCUUUCAAAGCCUAUCGUAGUCCAGAUUGGAGUCUGCAACUCGACUCCAUGAAGUAGGAAUCGCUAGUAAUCGCGGAUCAGAAUGCCGCGGUGAAUACGUUCCCGGGCCUUGUACACACCGCCCGUCACACCAUGGGAGUUGAUUGCACCAGAAGUGGUUAGCCUAACGUAAGAGGGCGAUCACCACGGUGUGGUUGAUGACUGGGGUGAAGUCGUAACAAGGUAGCCGUAGGGGAACCUGCGGCUG